rnacentral:tRNA from 1 species
GAGGACGUGGUGGAACCGGUAGACACCUCAGACUUAAAAUCUGACGCCUUCGGGCAUGCGGGUUCGAGUCCCGCCGUCCUCACCA